ensembl:lncRNA
GUGUGUGUGUGUGUGUGUGUGUGUAUGUGUGUGUGUGUGUGUGUGUGUGUGUCUACUCACUCAGUGGUGGAUGAAGAUGUGUGUAAGGCCUGUGUGCUGCCGUCUGUGUGUGUGUGUUGCAGUUUCGGUGAUUCCGGAACAGACGAGUCUGUCAUUUCUUCAAGCUCAUCAUGAGACGUCUGAAGCUUUGAGCUUUUCUUCUUCCCAAAAGCUUGUUUGAAGGAGCUGCGCAACUGAGGACACACACACACACACACACACACACAUUUACUUUGAUGCUUAUAUACACACAGUAAAUAUUGGGGUGGUGUGAUGACGCACAGUUCCUGUUACCAAUCACUUUUAUAAUUAUUCUAUUUUAUACAUUUAUUUUUUAUUAAAGAAUGAUGCAUAAUACUUUUUAUAAUUUUUUUUGUUAUAUUUAAUGUCGGUGAAAGUUAAUUCCUGUUCUCUCUUACCUUCUAGCAGCUAUAAACUGCUUUCCCUCACCAGCCUCAACAGCACUAUUAGAUAACUUUAGAUAAUAUUACACACUUCUAUGCAGUGUUCAGUAACAGACCUUUGGAUUUCAGGACCUAACUGCAUCUUCUAGAUGAUCUGUAGUCAUCCUAUUAUAUAUACAGGUAUGUGAGGAGAGAAAAUAACAGAAACCUUUUUUCUAUAAAGGUAAAGAAGAUCAGGGGCGAAACGAAGGACAUGGAGGGAUGGAAAACUUUUACAUGCGGCCUACUUUUAUAAUUUUAUCUAUGUAGUGUGAUGCCUGUCCAGCGUCCUCUGAAUUAACCAUAUGCAUAGUAUUCUGUGAUGUUAGGUUACAGAUUCAGGGGCCCGCAGGUUCAUUGCUUAUGGCUGGGACAAGGUCUGAGUAGUGGAUAAGACCAGUGAGACCCAUUAAGUCUUACCAAGCAAGUAUCUCCUGCGAGUACAAGGUUCCUGGUCCAUGACCAUACACCUGCCUUGUCCUAUCCACUUAUCUGAGCUUAUCCCAAAAGUAAGCCAUGACCAUGGGAGACCAUGACGCCAUAACCUACUGGCUCUAGAGCACUGCUGGCUCAGUGGUUAAGGUUUUUGAGCUAAAGAUCAGGAGGUCAUGAGUUCAAAAUCCCAAGUGAUGUGUCCUUCAGCAAGACUCUGCUCACUUCUUUCCUGCAUCAAGUGUGAGCUGCUUUGGAUAAAAGUGUUAGCCAAAUGAAGGAAUGUAAAAAGUGGACAGAUGUUACUGUGCAUAUGGUCCAUGUGGGUAGGACCACACAUGCAGCAUUUCCUCAGUAACAGUGCCUAUCUAUAAGGCAUAAAACUAUGAAAGCAAAGCAACUAUGUGCCUGGGCCAUAUGCAGUUACACACCUUUUGAGAAGACAUUCAGGGACCAAAAAUGGAAAUCCGAGCAGCAGAACUUGCCCCGCAAGCUGUCGCUGGGUAACCCAUCACUAAGGUUCAAUUUGACUAUGUUGACAUAGAUCUAGUUGUGCCACAGGGCACAAGUAUAUAAUCUGAACUACACAACCAUGGACUAUGGUACCUGGUACCCCCAAGGUUCAUGAGAUGAGAAAAAUUAUAUGGACAGCUUCUUCUAUGAUUUGUUCUUACUAUUUUGGCAGGUUACCGUCCCUAAAGAUGUUCUAACACACUAAGGCACCUACUUCAUGUCUGAGGAGUGUUAGAUCAGUACCAUUUCCAGUGGUACUGUUCCUAGCUCCUACCAUAACAAUCUGCCAGAGCAGGGGGAAGAUCAUAGCAAUGGCAGCAGGACAGUGAUCACAUCAAUCCUCCUUGUCAGUUGUUGUUGGUGUGUUUAGGCUCUCACUAUACCUAUACAAACUAUCUCUCUCUGUGUCAUUCUCUCUCUCUCUCUCUUUCUCUCUCUCAGUCACUGUCGAUAUCCUUAAUUCACUGUCAAUACAGAGAAUUAAGGAUCCAAAAAAGGGCAAAGAAGGAGGGAAAGAUUUUACUGAUACAUGCUUUCUAUUAGAAUUAUUGCCUCCAACAUUUAUCAGUCCAUUUAUACAUGCAGGGAAGGUUUACGAGUAGUUUUUCAUAUUCACCUUGUGUCCUCUGUCCCUCCCCUAAAGAAGCCAGGGAAAAAGUCAUCAAAGUAUUGUGAGCUGAAUAUUGUGAAAAAUUUGAGAAAUAAAACGGCAACAUCAUUAUAUACUCUACAGACUCUGACUAUCUCUGGCUCCAUCCACUACAAAUGAACUAUUUUGGGAGUUUCCUCAGGGUUGGGGGUUUAUGUAUAUAGUUAAAGGUUCUCGGUUUUCUAAAUGGGUUUUACUUGGAACCCUCUCUGAUAGAGAAACAUUAUAUUGAAUGGUUCUAUAUGGAAAGUUUAAGGUUCCUCUAGAGGGACAAAUCAAAGAACGCUUAAGUGUAGUGUAGUGAAGAUUAUCCAGUGCAUUUAUGAAAACAUACAAUAUACCAAAAAAGGAUAUUGUCCCAACAAUGAGCAGUAGCGAGGUAAAGAAUACCCGCAAUUUACAGUUUGUAGGAAAUAUUGAGAAGGUUACCAUUUAAGACACAAUUUUUAUUUUCCUUUCCCCAUGUUACGUUUAUCCAUGAUGGUCAAGUGGUCCACAAAGUCCAAUAAUGUACCUUAAAUACAUGUUCAUGUAUAAAUAGCACAGUAGUUAAGACGUUGGCCUUCUGACUGGGAGGUCAUGAGUUCAAAUCCCAGCACUGCCAAACUGUCAUAAAUGUAAAUAAUAGUACAGUAGGGUACAGUGUGGUACAGUACAGUGUCUGAUGUUAAAAAAACCUUGAAAACAAAAAUGUGUUCAAGUUUAUCAUGAGAUGUAUUAUAAAAUCAAAUCCUCAAACCACCAGGUUGUCAUAAUGACUGGACAAUGUCAAAUGUCCUCACAACCACUAGCUUCUCAUAAUGAUUGGAUAGUGUCAUGACUGAACAAUGACAAAUGUCCUCAUAAUGACUGGACAAUGUGAAAUGUCCUUGCAUUUGGCAGAUGCCCUUAUCCAGAGUGAGUUACAGAAGUGCUUUGAAGUGCUUUGUGCUCUAUCAAUAAAUACUGGUUCACUAGGUCACAGACUAAGAAUACCCUCAGUCUUAAAACUCUGUUGGGAGGAAACGUAGUAAGAAGAUACAGAAUUAUAUAUUUUUUAAAAUAUGAAAAGUGCUAAUUUAAGUACUUCAGGAAAAGGUAGGUAGAGGAAAAGGUAGCAAGUGACUCAGCUGUUCAGACAUCUAGGGGAAGUUCAUUCCACCAUCAAGGUGCCAGAACAGAGAAGAGUCUUGAUGCAUGCCUUCCUUGUACCCUGAGAGAUGGUGGCAACAGUGUAGCAGUGCUAGAGGUUUGGAUGGAGCGUGGGGCAGUGCGGGCUGUGUUAAAUGAUUUGAGGUAAGUGGGUGCUGGUCCAUUUUGGGCUUUGUAGGCAUGUAUCAGAGUUUUAAAUCUGAUGCGGGCAGCUACAGGAAGCCAGUGGAGGGAGCAUAGCAAUUUGGUGGUGUGGGAGAACUUAGGAAGGUUGAAAAGUCAAGCAGCUGCAUUCUGGAUCAGUUGCAAAGGUCAGAUGGUGCUCAGAGGAAGACCUGCCAGGAGUGAGUUGCAGUAGUCCAGUCUUGAAAUGACAAGAGACUGAACCAGCACCUGAAUGGCCUGUAUGGAUAGAAAUGGACGAAUCCUUCUGAUGUUGUAAAGGAGAAAUUGAAAUGUGAGAGGAAAAGGACAGUUGCGUGUCCAUGGUUAACCCAAGGUUGUAUGCAGUAACUGAAGGUGGGAUCAGAGUUGUUCAGGGAGAUCACAAGAUCCUGACAUGGUGAUGAGUCACCUGGGAUGAACAGUAGUUCAGUUUUUGCUGGGAUUAGGUUUCAGCUGAUGAGCUGCCAUUCAUGAUGAGAUGUCUCCCAGACAGGCUGAGAUCUGAGCAGAAACAAGAGGAUCUGAGGGAGGGAAGGAGAGGAUGAGUUGAGUGUCAUCCACAUAGUAGUGGUAUGAGAACCCAUGUGAGAAUAUGACCUCACCAAGAGAUCGUGUAUAGAGUGAGAACAGAAGAGGACCAAAUGCUGAGCCUUGUGGGACACCAGUAGUGAGCCUGCAGGGAGUAGAUGUGCAUCCCCUCCACGUCACCUGGUAUGAGUGACCUUCCACUACUCGUGACGGUGGACAAGAAAGUCUUGUUGGUGACUGUGUCAAAUGCUGCUGAAAGGUCAAGCGGGAUGAGGACAGUUUGGUUGAUCUAGCAGAAUGUAGCUUCUCAGUGACAGCCAAAAGGACAGUUUCUGUGGAAUAUGCCACUUUGAAGCCAGACUGGUUAGGAUCUUAGAGGUUGUUCUGUGAGAGAUAGAGAGACAGUUGAUUGUAGACAGUGUGUUUAAGGAUUUUAGAAAGAAAAGAGAGAAGUGAUACCGGAUGGUAGUUGCCGAUGUCAGAGGGAUCUAGAGUGGGUUUCUUCAGGAUGAGAAUAACCCUUGCUCUCUUGAAUGCAAUUGGUACAUGAGCAGAUGAUAUGGAGCCAAUGAUGAUAGUCGUGAUGAAGGGAGAUGGUCUGGAGCAUUGUGGAAGGGAUUGGAUCUAAUUGGCAGGUGGUAGGAUUGCAGGACAAGAUGACCUGCAGGAUCUCUUCUGUUACUAGAUUAGAAUAAUGUGCCAGUGAAGGUGAAGGAGAAUCCUCAGUGGGUGGUGUAGGAGUUGAGGUAGAAAGUCUGGCAGAUUUUUCUUAUCAUAAAAGGUGGCAAAGUUUUACAAUCACCAGGUCCUCAUAAUGAUUGGACAGUUGUCAAUAUCACCAUGCAUUCAAUAGUUUGUUUUUUUUGCUGACGUUAAGGUUACAGUGUGUGUGUGUGUGUGUGUGUGUGUGUGUGUGUUACUCACCCAGCUCUUCUUCUUCUUUUUCUUGUCAUCCGGGUCUUUGUUGUUUAAGCUGCUGUGACUCACUGCACUGUUAGUGCUAGACACACUUUCUGAGGAGUGCUGACGCCGAACUAACACACACAUACACACACACACACACACACACACACAAUUCUCAAUUCUUUUGUUCCUAGUAGAACUGCUGGUGUGUCAGUGUUAUCUUAAUCACAGCUCUGUCUAUGUGUGUGUGUGUGUGUGUGUGUGUGUGUGUGUGUGUGUGUACCUUUGUGUAGAUGCUCAGGUCCAUUCAGAGCCACCUGUAUGGCAGUUUGUGCGUCUGUGUUUUGAGCCUUUAAAGCUUCGAUCGUCUCCCUCAACUCUGCCAACUCUGAUUCCUAAGUGCGCGCAUGCACAAACACACACACACACACACACACACACACAAAGUUGCCUACACUUUCAACAAAUUUCAUACAUUAAAACAAAUCCUGUCAUUUCAUGAUAUAUACGUGUGUGUGUGUGUGUGUGUGUGUUUGUGUGUGUGUGUAUGUGCGCGUGAGUGUGUGUAUUACCUUUUGUUCCGCCGUCAUGGUGAGACUCUGUAAGCGACAUGUCAUGUUUGUCAAACUCUUCUCAAAUGCUGCAACCAGGUGAGACUACGAUCACACAUGCCCACACGCACACGCACACACACACACACACACACACACACACACAUACACACACUCUUGUUAAACUUAAAUCAUCAGUAACAGAGUAACAGAAACCUUAUCUCGAAAAUAAGUGUUCUGAUUGACUGCUUGGUGCCU